GAUGAACGCUGGCGGUAUGCUUAACACAUGCAAGUCGAACGGACUCUUCGGAGUUAGUGGCGGACGGGUGUGUAACGCGUGAGAAUCUGGCUUUGGGUUCGGGACAACCACUGGAAACGGUGGCUAAUACCGGAUGUGCCGAGAGGUAAAAGAGAAAUUGCCUGAAGAUGAGCUCGCGUCUGAUUAGCUAGUUGGUGAGGUAAAGGCUCACCAAGGCAGCGAUCAGUAGCUGGUCUGAGAGGAUGACCAGCCACACUGGGACUGAGACACGGCCCAGACUCCUACGGGAGGCAGCAGUGGGGAAUUUUCCGCAAUGGGCGAAAGCCUGACGGAGCAAUACCGCGUGAGGGAAGAAGGCUCUUGGGGUGUAAACCUCUUUUCUUAGGGAAGAACAAAAUGACGGUACCUAAGGAAUCAGCAUCGGCUAACUCCGUG
rnacentral:rRNA from 1 species